rnacentral:rRNA from 1 species
GAACCUGCGGAAGGAUCAUUACAGAGUUCAUGCCCUUCGGGGUAGAUCUCCCACCCUUGAAUAUACACCUUUGUUGCUUUGGCGGGCCGCGCUUGCGCGUUGGCUCUGGCUAACUGUGCCCGCCAGAGGACCCUAACUCUUUUGUUUAGUGAUGUCUGAGUACUAUAUAAUAGUUAAAACUUUCAACAACGGAUCUCUUGGUUCUGGCAUCGAUGAAGAACGCAGCGAAAUGCGAUAAGUAAUGUGAAUUGCAGAAUUCAGUGAAUCAUCGAAUCUUUGAACGCACAUUGCGCCCCUUGGUAUUCCGAGGGGCAUGCCUGUUCGAGCGUCAUUAUGACCACUCAAGCUUUAGCUUGGUAUUGGGGUACGCGGUCUCGCGCCCCCUAAAAUCAGUGGCGGCGCCAUCUGGCUCUAAGUGUAGUAAUCUUAUCCUCGCUAUAGAGUCCUGGUGGAUGCUUGCCAGAACCCCCCAAUCUUACGGUUGACCUCGGAUCAGGUAGGGAUACCCGCUGAACUUAAGCAUAUCAAUAAG